AACGAACGCUGGCGGCAUGCCUAACACAUGCAAGUCGAACGAGACCUUCGGGUCUAGUGGCGCACGGGUGCGUACCGCGUGGGAACCUGCCCUUAGGUUCGGAAUAACUCACCGAAAGGGGUGCUAAUACAGGAUAAUGUCAUCGGACCAAAGAUUUAUCGCCUUUGGAUGGGCCCGCGUUGGAUUCGCUAGUUGGUAGGGUAAAAGCCUACCAAGGCGACGAUCCAUAGCUGGUCGGAGAGGAUGAUCAGCCACACUGGGACUGAGACACGGCCCAGACCCCUACGGGAGGGAGCAGUAGGGAAUAUUGUAGGAGGGGCGAAAGCCUGAUCCAGCAAUGCCGCGUGAGUGAGGAAGGCCUUAGUGUUGUAAAGCUCUUUUACCCGAGAUGAUAAUGACAGUACCGGGUGAAUAAGCACCGGCUAACUCCGUG
rnacentral:rRNA from 1 species